AACGCACAUUGCGCCCGCUAGUACUCUGGCGGGCAUGCCUGUUCGAGCGUCAUUUCAACCCUCAAGCUCUGCUUGGUGUUGGGGAUCGGCGUAGCGCCCUCGGGCGUCGCCGUCCCCUAAAUCUAGUGGCGGUCCCGCUGUAGCCUCCUCUGCGUAGUAGUUUUCUCCUCGCACUGGAAUCUCGGCGGUGCCCUGCCGUAAAACCCCCAACUUACCGAAAUGUUGACCUCGAAUCAGGUAGGAAUACCCGCUGAACUUAA
rnacentral:misc_RNA from 1 species